AUUGAACGCUGGCGGCAGGCCUAACACAUGCAAGUCGAGCGGAGCGGCGGACGGGUGAGUAAUGCCUAGGAAUCUGCCUGGUAGUGGGGGAUAACGUCCGGAAACGGGCGCUAAUACCGCAUACUAUCAGAUGAGCCUAGGUCGGAUUAGCUAGUUGGUGGGGUAAAGGCCUACCAAGGCGACGAUCCGUAACUGGUCUGAGAGGAUGAUCAGUCACACUGGAACUGAGACAGGGUCCAGACCCUUACGGGGGGCAGCGGUGGGGAAUAUGGGACAAUGGGCGAAAGCCUGAUCCAGCCAUGCGGCGUGUGUGAAGAAGGUCUUCGGAUGGUAAAGCACUUUAAGUUGGGAGGCGUUACCAACAGAAUAAGCACCGGCUAACUUCGUGCCAGCAGCCGCGGUAAUU
rnacentral:rRNA from 1 species